rnacentral:rRNA from 1 species
CGGUAAUUCCAGCUCCAAUAGCGUAUACUAAAGUUGUUGCAGUUAAAAAGCUCGUAGUUGGAUUUCUGCGGGGACGGAGCGGCCGGUCGCAACUUGCGACUCGAGCUAGCGCUUUCCCCGCAUCCUGCCGUGAACCGUGCUACCAUUAGCUUGGUGGCGCUGGGGAUCGGCUCGAUUACUUUGAGAAAAAUAGAGUGUUCAAAGCAGGCCACACGCCUUGAAUAAGUUAGCAUGGAAUAAUGACUAAGGACUUCGGUUCUAUUUUGUUGGUGUUCGGGACUGAAGUAAUGAUUGAUAGGGACAGUUGGGGCGGUCUGUAUUCCAAAGCGAGAGGUGAAAUUCUUAGACCUUCGGAAGACAGACAGCUGCGAAAGCGUUCCGCAAGGAUGUUCCCUUUGAUCAAGAACGAAAGUUGGGGGAUCGAAGACGAUCAGAUACCGUCGUAGUCUCAACUAUAAACUAUACCAGCUAGGGAUCGGUCAACGUUUAAUCAUUCGACUUGAUCGGCACCUUAUGAGAAAUCAAAGCAUCUGGGUUCCGGGGGGAGUAUGGUCGCAAGGCUGAAACUUAAAGGAAUUGACGGAAGGGCACCACCAGCCGUGGAGCCUGUGGCUUAAUUUGACUCAACACGGGAAAACUUACCAGGUCCAGACAUAGUAAGGAUUGACAGAUUGAUAGCUCUUUCUUGAUUCUGUGGGUGGUGGUGCAUGGCCGUUCUUAGUUGGUGGAGUGAUCUGUCUGGUUAAUUCCGUUAACGAACGAGACCCCAGCCUGCUAAAUAGCGCGGUUGAGCUUUGCUCGAUGCGAGCUUCUUAGAGGGACUAUGAUGCGCGAUAGCACAUGGAAGUUUGGGGCAAUAACAGGUCUGUGAUGCCCUUAGAUGUUCUGGGCCGCACACGGGCUACACUGGCGCCUGCAACGAGCAUAUCAGCUGGCCCGAGAGGGUCUUGGCUAAUCUUUUGAACCGGCGCCGUGCUUGGGAUUGACCAUUGCAAUUGUUGGUCAUGCAACGAGGAAUGCCUUGUAAACGCGAGUCAUCAGCUCGCAUUGAAUACGUCCCUGCCCUUUGUACACACCGCCCGUCGCCCCUACCGAUGAAUGUUCCGAUGAAAUUUUCGGAGAGCGCCAGAGAACGGGGCUCUGCCUUGCAGAUCUGGAGGCUCAAAGUCACUUAAAUCUGAACAUUUCGAGGAAGGAGAAGUCGUAACAAGGUAGCC